rnacentral:rRNA from 1 species
UACGUAGGGGGCAAGCGUUGUCCGGAAUCAUUGGGCGUAAAGAGCGUGUAGGCGGCCCGAUAAGGCCGCUGUGAAAGUCCAGGGCUCAACCCUGGGAUGCCGGUGGAUACUGUCGGGCUCGAGUCCGGAAGAGGAGUGUGGAAUUCCUGGUGUAGCGGUGAAAUGCGCAGAUAUCAGGAGGAACACCAAUGGCGAAGGCAGCACUCUGGGACGUGACUGACGCUGAGACGCGAAAGCGUGGGGAGCAAACAGG